GAUGAACGCUGGCGGCGUGCCUAAUACAUGCAAGUCGAGCGAACAGACGAGGAGCUUGCUCCUCUGACGUUAGCGGCGGACGGGUGAGUAACACGUGGAUAACCUACCUAUAAGACUGGGAUAACUUCGGGAAACCGGAGCUAAUACCGGAUAAUAUAUUGAACCGCAUGGUUCAAUAGUGAAAGACGGUUUUGCUGUCACUUAUAGAUGGAUCCGCGCCGCAUUAGCUAGUUGGUAAGGUAACGGCUUACCAAGGCAACGAUGCGUAGCCGACCUGAGAGGGUGAUCGGCCACACUGGAGCUGAGACACGGUCCAGACUCCUACGGGAGGUAGCAGUAGGGAAUCUUCCGCAAUGGGCGAAAGCCUGACGGAGCAACGCCGCGUGAGUGAUGAAGGUCUUCGGAUCGUAAAACUCUGUUAUUAGGGAAGAACAAAUGUGUAAGUAACUAUGCACGUCUUGACGGUACCUAAUCAGAAAGCCACGGCUAACUACGUG
rnacentral:rRNA from 1 species